rnacentral:rRNA from 1 species
CUUCUCCUACGGGAGGCAGCAGUGGGGAAUAUUGCACAAUGGGGGGAACCCUGAUGCAGCGACGCCGCGUGGGUGAAGGAGUACUUCGGUACGUAAAGCCCUAUCAGCAGGAAAGAAAAUGACGGUACCUGACUAAGAAGCCCCGGCUAACUACGUGCCAGCAGCCGCGGUAAUACGUAGGGGGCAAGCGUUAUCCGGAUUUACUGGGUGUAAAGGGAGCGUAGACGGCAGUGCAAGUCCGGAGUGAAAGCCCGGGGCUCAACCCUGGGACUGCUUUGGAAACUGCCCGGCUAGAGUGCUGGAGG